UGGGGAAUCUUGGACAAUGGGCGCAAGCCUGAUCCAGCCAUGCCGCGUGAGCGAUGAAGGCCUUAGGGUUGUAAAGCUCUUUCACCGGUGAAGAUAAUGACGGUAGCCGGAGAAGAAGCCCCGGCUAACUCCGUGCCAGCAGCCGCGGUAAUACGGAGGGGACUAGCGUUGUUCGGAAUUACUGGGCGUAAAGAGUUCGUAGGCGGACUAGCAAGUUAGAGGUGAAAUCCCAGGGGCUCAACCUUGGAACUGCCUUUAAAAGCUGCUAGUCUAGAGACCGGAAGAGGUUUAGGGGAAUACCUAGUGUAGAGGUGAAAUUCGUAGAUAUUAGGUGGAACACCAGUGGCGAAGGCGCCUAACUGGUCCGGUACUGACGCUGAGGAACGAAAGUGUGGGGAGC
rnacentral:rRNA from 1 species